UUUGAAGUCUGGCCUGCCCAAUGAUUUUUAUUGAAUGGCCGCAGUAUUUUGACUGUGCAAAGGUAGCAUAAUCAUUAGUUUUUUAAUUGAAAGCUGGAAUGAAUGGUUUGAUGAAAAAAGAACUGUCUCAGAAUUAUUGACAUAGAAAUUUAUUUUUAAGUUAAAAAGCUUAAAUGUUUUAAAAAGACGAGAAGACCCUAUAGAGUUUUAUAUUUACUUAGAAGAAUUUUAUUUUGGAUUUUUAUGGAUUUUUUUUGAUUGAAUGUUUCAUUGGGGUGAUGUGAAAAUUUAAUUAACUUUUUAUAAUAAAAACAUGAAUUAAUGAAUUUUUGAUCCUUUAGUUAGGAUUAAUAGAUAAAAUUACCUUAGGGAUAACAGCGUAAUUUUUUUUAAGAGUUCUUAUCGAAAAAAAAGAUUGCGACCUCGAUGUUGGAUUAAAAUUAAUUUUUGGUGCAGAAGCUGGAAAAUUAGGUCUGUUCGACCUUUAAAAUUUUACAUGAUCUGAGUUUAAACCGGCGUGAGCCAGGUUGGUUUCUAUCUUUUAAUUAGUAAGAUGUUUUAGUACGAAAGGACCAAGCAUUAAAAUUAUAUUUUAAUUUUUGAAUUAUAUUGUUAUUUUGGCAGAUUAGUGCGAUAAAUUUAGAAUUUGUGUAUGUAAGUUGAUUACAGAUAAUAUUGAUUUUUCAAGAUUUAUUUAUGGUUUUUAUUUCUAUAAUUGUUUUAAUUAUUUGUGUAUUAGUUGGGGUGGCUUUUUUA
rnacentral:rRNA from 1 species